AUUGAACGCUGGCGGCAGGCCUAACACAUGCAAGUCGAGCGGAUGAAGGGAGCUUGCUCCUGGAUUCAGCGGCGGACGGGUGAGUAAUGCCUAGGAAUCUGCCUGGUAGUGGGGGAUAACGUCCGGAAACGGGCGCUAAUACCGCGUACGUCCUGAGGGAGAAAGUGGGGGGUCUUCGGACCUCACGCUAUCAGAUGAGCCUAGGUCGGGUUAGCUAGUUGGUGGGGUAAAGGCCGGCCAAGGCGAGGAUCCGUAACUGGUCUGAGUGGAUGAUCAGUCACACUGGAACUGAGACGCGGUCCAGAGUCCUACGGGAGGCAGCAGUGGGGAAUAUUGGACAAUGGGCGAAAGCCUGAUCCAGCCAUGCCGCGUGUGUGCAGAAGGUCUUCGGAGUGUAAAGCACUUUAAGUUGGGAGGAAGGGCAGUAAGUUAAUACCUUGCUGUUUUGACGUUACUAACAGAAUAAGCACCGGCUAACUUCGUG
rnacentral:rRNA from 1 species